GAUGAACGCUAGCGGCAGACCUAAUACAUGCAAGUCGAGGGGUAGAAGAGGCUUGCUUCUUUGAGACCGGCGCACGGGUGCGUAACGCGUAUGCAAUCUACCUUCAUCUGGGGGAUAGCCCGGAGAAAUCCGGAUUAAUACCGCAUAAAAUCACAGGAUGGCAUUAUCCAAUGAUCAAACAUUUAUGGGAUGGAAAUGGGCAUGCGUGUCAUUAGCUAGUUGGCGGGGUAACGGCCCACCAAGGCGACGAUGACUAGGGGAUCUGAGAGGAUGGCCCCCCACACUGGUACUGAGACACGGACCAGACUCCUACGGGAGGCAGCAGUAAGGAAUAUUGGUCAAUGGAGGCAACUCUGAACCAGCCAUGCCGCGUGCAGGAAGACUGCCCUAUGGGUUGUAAACUGCUUUUAUUCGGGAAUAAACCUUAUUACGUGUAAUAAGCUGAAUGUACCGAGGGAAUAAGGAUCGGCUAACUCCGUGCCAGCCGCCGCAGUAAUAC
rnacentral:rRNA from 1 species